GAUGAAGAACGCAGCGAAAUGCGAUAAGUAAUGUGAAUUGCAGAAUUCAGUGAAUCAUCGAAUCUUUGAACGCACAUUGCGCCCGCCAGUAUUCUGGCGGGCAUGCCUGUUCGAGCGUCAUUACAACCCUCAGGCCCCCGGGCCUGGCGUUGGGGAUCGGCGGAAGCCCCCUGCGGGCACAACGCCGUCCCCCAAAUACAGUGGCGGUCCCGCCGCAGCUUCCAUUGCGUAGUAGCUAACACCUCGCAACUGGAGAGCGGCGCGGCCACGCCGUAAAACACCCAACUUCUAAAUGUUGACCUCGAAUCAGGUAGGAAUACCCGCUGAACUUAAGCAUAUCAAUAAGCGGAGGA
rnacentral:misc_RNA from 1 species